UUGAAAUGCCUAAAUAUUCUAAUGGCACCAGAUCCCAUUUGGUCUUAAAAGUUAAGCAGGUUCAGCUCUGGUUAGUAAUUGGAUGGGAGACCACCAACAAAUGCCAGAUUCUGUAAACU
rnacentral:rRNA from 1 species